AUUGAACGCUGGCGGCAGGCCUAACACAUGCAAGUCGAACGAGGGGCAGGCGGGAGAGAAAUGUGUGAGAAACUCCGAGAUAGAGGGGUAAAACCACUGGACGGGGUCGCUAACAGCGCAUAACAUCGGAUGUGCCGAGAUGGGAUGCGCUAGUAUGGGGGGUAAAGGCACACCGAGGCUACGCUCACGAGCUGGUCUGAGAGGAGGAAGAGCCACACUGGAACUGAGACACGGUCCAGACUCCUACGGGAGGCAUCAGUGGGGAAUAUUGCACAAUGGGCGCAAGCCUGAUGCAGCCAUGCCGCGUGUAUGAAGAAGGCCUUCGGGUUGUAAAGUACUUUCAGCGGGGAGGCGUUACCCGCAGAAGAAGCACCGGCUAACUCCGUGCCAGCAGCCGCGGUAAUAC
rnacentral:rRNA from 1 species